ACUCAAAGGAAUUGACGGGGGCCUGCACAAGCGGUGGAGUAUGUGGCUUAAUUCGAUGCAACGCGAAGAACCUUACCUGGCCUUGACAUGUAGGUAGUAAAAGCCUGAAAGGGUGAUGACCCCGCAAGGGGGGCCUACACAGGUGCUGCAUGGCUGUCGUCAGCUCGUGUCGUGAGAUGUUGGGUUAAGUCCCGCAACGAGCGCAACCCUUGCGUCCUGUUGCCACCCGAUCGAGAGAUCGGAGCACUCUGGACGGACUGCCUCGCUUAAACGGGGAGGAAGGUGGGGAUGACGUCAAGUCAGGAUGGCCCUUACGGCCAGGGCUGCACACGUACUACAAUGCCCGGCACAAAGGGAUGCAAUACCGUAAGGUGGAGCAAAUCUCAUAAAACCGGGCCCAGUUCAGAUUGCCGUCUGCAACUCGACGGCAUGAAGCUGGAAUCGCUAGUAAUGGCGCAUCAGCUACGGCGCCGUGAAUACGUUCCCAGGCCUUGUACACACCGCCCGU
rnacentral:rRNA from 1 species